rnacentral:rRNA from 1 species
AGUGAACGCUGGCGGUAGGCCUAACACAUGCAAGUCGAACGGCAGCACAGUAAGAGCUUGCUCUUACGGGUGGCGAGUGGCGGACGGGUGAGGAAUACAUCGGAAUCUACUUUUUCGUGGGGGAUAACGUAGGGAAACUUACGCUACUACCGCAUACGACCUACGGGUGAAAGCAUGGGAUCUUCGGACCUUGCGCGAUUGAAUGAGCCGAUGUCGGAUUAGCUAGUUGGCGGGGUAAAGGCCCACCAAGGCGACGAUCCGUAGCUGGUCUGACAGGAUGAUCAGCCACACUGGAACUGAGACACGGUCCAGACUCCUACGGGAGGCAGCAGUGGGGAAUAGUGGACAAUGGGCGCAAGCCUGAUCCAGCCAUACCGCGUGGGUGAAGAAGGCCUUCGGGUUGUAAAGCCCUUUUGUGGGGAAAGAAAAGCAGCAGGUUAAUACCCCGCUGUUCUGACGGUACCCAAAGAAUAAGCACCGGCUAACUUCGUG